GAUGAACGCUGGCGGCGUGCAUAACACAUUCAAGUCGAGCGGAGCUUUGAAGAUCAAUCCUUCGGGAAGCGUCUUUGAAGCUUAGUGGCGGACGGGUGAGUAACGCGUGAGCAACCUGCCUUUGUGAGGGGGAUAACGUCUGGAAACGGACGCUAAUACCGCAUGACGUAUGAGAUUCGCAUGUUUUUCAUACCAAAGAUUUAUCGCACAAAGAUGGGCUCGCGUCUGAUUAGGUAGUUGGUGAGGUAACGGCUCACCAAGCCGACGAUCAGUAGCCGGACUGAGAGGUUGAACGGCCACAUUGGAACUGAGAUACGGUCCAG
rnacentral:rRNA from 1 species